rnacentral:lncRNA from 1 species
GCACUCAAUGCCUCACCUAUCCUUGCGUACCAACUUACGACUAAGGAACUCUGCACAUGUGAUUUCAUACUUUGGCCAUGGGCCACAUUGCAAGACAACUGCGAAUGCUGACUAAAUAUCAAUAUAAAACUUGGCCGACAAGGCCGUUAUAUUUAUUACAGCUGACAAACCAACCAAAUAUACAUACAAGGCCUAAAUGCCCAACAUACUGCACUAACUGACAAGAUAUAUCUACAAGCCUCUACUGAUGGAUACACUGUGAUCGGAAUGGCCUUCCGACCUAUUCAUGAUAUAUAUACAUAUAUAUACAAUAUAUACAUAAGGCUCUAGACCUGGAAACUCCGAAAGGCAUGGAGCUUAUCGAUCAAGCUAAACUCGGGCAACACUUAUUGAAGAGGCCUACUCAUCUGUCUGUCCGACCUGCACACAUGAAAUGCAGCGCCCCCAGAAAAAGGGACGUCAGUACGAAAUAAUGUACUGAGCAUGUAAGGCAAUAUACUGAAAGUUGAAACUGAACUCAUAAUAUAAUAACUGCAAGUAGCUAGAAGUCAAAGAUAAUCUGAAGAUAUGCUUACCUGCUGAUACUGACUCAACUCCCUCAAUAUAGUAAGUAAAAUAGUUGUCCGGCCCUAUAAGGCUCGGUAUACAUAUAUAUAUCUGCUCUGCCGUAGUAGGCUCGCUCAUAAGCGCUCGGCCAUACUAGGCUAUGUAUCCCGACCAACUGGGCUCGCUCAUAUGCGCUCGACCACAGUAGGAUCAUCAUAUAACUUGCCAUCUGAUCAGAGGUUGCCCAAUAGGGGCCUGCCCAUCGAUUAUAGCUCGAUGGUAAUGAAAAUACUUUUAAUAUUGUAUAUAUGUAACUUCUCUGCUCUCUUGAUUGGAAGAAGGAAAUACUCAACUAAAUAUGAAAUCCCGAUAAGGAGAAUAUUAUAACUUACAACAUUAGAAAAAUAUACGCAAUUUGCAAGACUAGCAAAAUAUACGUAAAUUCCGGGAUGUGAAUGUAAUGACGAGAUCAUGCCAAAUGAAAGAAGAGCUUAGCCUUAACAUACUAAAAGGUUAAAUUCAUUAUCAUUUAACCAUCAGUAGUUGUGUCUUGAAAUUAAAGGGACGGAAGCUCAUUUACUUCAUACUUAAAGAAGCUACUAUGAUUAUGGAGACUACUGUUAUAAAAAGGUGCUGAUAGCUUGUCUAUCAUUUUCUUUUUCCUAAAGAUCCAUAUUUGUUUUACGAUUAAACUGUAUCCUCCAAUGUCAUGCAUAACCAUAACUAAAGCAUUUUUCCUUUUCCUCUUUCUUUACCAAUCUAAUAUAUAUUACUCUAUGGUAUGUCAUAUUCUGUAUUUUUUUUUUUGUGUAGCAACAGAGUGAGCCUUUCCAUUACUUAAAUUUCUAAGUACCCUUCUGGGUAAUACUAAUAGACAUCACGACUUUGCAAGUAUGCUAUUUAAAUUUAGUGUAUGGAUCAUGCCAAAAGAAAAGAAGGGAGGACCUUAACAUACCUGGAGUAGGGAAAACUCCGUAUAAUAUUUCGUUGGAAAUCUUCGUAGAUUGAACGAAAUUUGCCUCUACUCCUUAGAAAUUCAUGGAUGAAAACUUAUUUCUAGUUCUUAAAAAUUCUGGAACGAAUUAAAAGUUUUGGCUUCCUUGAAAUUGAGAGGAAAACGUUAUCUGUUUGAAGUUUGGAACGAAAAUAUUAUUGAAUGGAGUUUGUUGUUGAAAUGAAAUAAUCUUGGAAUGAAGACUUUUGUUUUUGAAAUGAAAUAAUCUUGGAAAGAGGACUUGUAAGGAUAACGUUUCAAAUUUAUGAAAGAAAUCUCUCUUGUUUUCUUUCUGAAUGAGUAACGUCACUUUUUU